rnacentral:snRNA from 2 species
AUGUCCUUCUGGGAUAUCCGAUAAAAGUGGAACGAUAUGGAGAAGAUUAGCAUAAUCCCUACACAAGGAUGGUACGCACAAAUCGAGAAAUGGAGUAUGACUUG